GCCUGCCCAGUGACCCUGUUUAACGGCCGCGGUAUCCUAACCGUGCGAAGGUAGCGUAAUCACUUGUUCUCUAAAUGCGGACUAGUAUGAACGGCAUCACGAGGGUUAUACUGUCUCCUCUUUCUAAUCAGUGAAACUAAUCUCCCCGUGAAGAGGCGGGGAUAAAACUAUAAGACGAGAAGACCCUAUGGAGCUUUAAACAAUAUAGCACUUGCCUUUAACAUAAAAAUUUCCGAAUCUUGCUCCAAAGCGAUAUGACUAUAAGUUUUUGGUUGGGGUGACCACGGAGCAAAAUUUAACCUCCAUGUUGAAAGAAAUAAGCUAAGAGUCACUCCUCUAAGCAUCAACAUAUUGACAUCAAUUGACCCAAUACAUUUGAACAACGAACCAAGUUACCCUAGGGAUAACAGCGCA
rnacentral:rRNA from 1 species